rnacentral:lncRNA from 1 species
AUGUUGCCUUUGUUUCGCUUUUCCCUCUCCUCCCACCCUCCUCCUCUUCCAUUCCAUUUUUCCCAGCUCAUAAGCUGCCCCAUGACAUUGUCGAUCCUGCGCCAGGAAUUGGAGGACUCACUAGAAGAGCGUACAUUCAUGAAGAUACCAACAAAGGGUCCCUCCAUUAGUUGGACCAGACAGAUAAGAACAUCAGAAGAGUCCUGCUGGAUUAUAGUCCAGCAUCCUGUUCUGACAAUGGCCAACCUGGUGCAUGUGGGAAACCAACAAGCAGGAUUCAAGCACAAGAUCCCUCUCCCCUGCUGGAUCAGCCCAAUAGACCAUUGGUCCAGCAUUCCUGUUCUCAUAUUGAUUUUAUACAGUUCUGUACAGUUUUGGGCACCCCAGUUUAAAAAGGAUAUUGACAAGCUGGGAUGUGUGCAGGGGUGGUGGUGGUCCCAGUGGGGUUGGAUCAAGGCAGAAUAA